UUACCGUAUGAAUAGGAUGGAUGUGACUGAUUAGAUUGACAUCAUUUAAGGGGAGUUACCAUAUGAAAUAAAAGUAUACACAAUACAGUGAUAUCGAACGUAAAUAAAAGUUGGGAAACUACAUCUAGUUUAAAUACCGCAUUUUAUUAUAAAAGAAACAAUAGGUUACUAUCUACUCGUCAGUCUUUUAUUGAAUCACAUCAAACAAAAGUGGAAGAAAAAUGAAGUUGUCAUUUUUACUUAUCUUCAUUGCCUUCGUUUUUAUAUUAGCAGGUAGUGGUCAAGUGGAAGGAAAGAAGUUUUGGAAACGAGUUGAGAAAGUUGGUAAGAAUAUUCGAAAAGCUGCCGAAAAAACACUUCCUACAGUUAUUGGAUAUGCAGGAGUCGUAAAACAAGUUGGUGCCAAAUAAGUUUCAUUGCACGACAUGGGUUUGUUGAAAUCAAACGUUCAACAGCCUGUUUUGAACGUUUUUCACGUUGAUCCGCCACAAAAACCUAUUUUUGUUUGACUAUGUAUAAGUACUAAAAUUCAUUUUUACUAUGAUAACAUUCAUGUAUUUAUAAAUAAAAGAGUUACAGUAUA